AUGAUACCGAAUCAACAAUGUUUGAAUUUGAAAAAGAAACAGAUUAUUCAAAUUCAUUUCCCUGGUUAGGGCUGGGCUUUACAAUGGGAUUUUCAGCUGUGGAGCUAUAAAGAAUUACUACAUAGGGUGUCCAAUGUAGUUUUGUGUACAGAAUCCAGAAAUAAGAAGAGGAAAGACAAUGCAGAUGCAGCAUUAGAAUUACCAACUACUUAUCACUGCUGAGGAAAUGGUACCUGCUUUGAGUACUACUCUUGUGUAUUUGGAGACAGUCCAGUUGUUCUUUAAACCAGAAGUGGAAAUUUCAGUGCUUGUUAAAUUUUCUCCAGAAGUUAUUGGAUGAUACAUAGGAAGAAAAUGGGGUCAUACUGAACAAAAUAGUUUGGAUACACCUUAUAGAUUUUGAAAGAUUGAGACCUCAAGAUCAACCCAAAUGAUAUUUAAUAUGUAUCAGGGUUCACUUGCAGGAAUACACAGAAAUUCAGAGUAAAUUUUAAGUGUUUGUUAUCUUAGAAAAGAUCAAAGUUCAAGGUCAGCAGUGCUUUAGUUUUACCAAAUAUAAAACUAUUAUAAAGACUAAUUUCCUGUAUACAGUUAUAGCAAGUAAUUCAGAAUAUGAUUUGGGGAAACCUUGAUUUUUUCUUUUAAAUCUUACCCUAAUUUAGAACCAUGAUGUAUACUUAAGCAAGUGGAUUUUUUUUCAAGCAUACAAAAUUUCAAGGUCAUUUUAAUUUUGGAAGUGAAUAUAAAAUAUCAGGAAGCAGUCAAGCAUUGUAAUUUAUUUGUUGUUGAAUGUACUUAGUUAUUGAGUAAUAUUAAA